CUCCCCGUCAGGGGGGUACCGCGACCACCGAUGUUGUCAUGUAAUGACGUGUUUGGAUUUUCCAAUCUAUUUCGACCGAUUGCAUCACGGUAUGAAAUAGACAAAACAUGAAUGGACAUGUCAUACAAUUGUCGUAACCAGGUCACAUAAUCCGUGUAAUACGGCGAGACAUUUUAGUACAUAACAUUGUCUUGUUGUUAUUCAUCACCCUACAUAUAUAUUCAAUUGUAAGUGUUAUAUAUAUAACUUUUUUAUUUUAUAUAUAUUAUAUAGUAUUAGUACUCGAGCUUCGAUGGGAACACCCGUUUAUAUAUCAACAUGAUUUAGGGCACAUUGUGUUUAAACGUCGGUCACACCACAAUAAAUACGAUAUCUUUAAGUCAAAAUCAUUACAAAAAUCUGAGUUUCAAAUCUUCACGACAAAUGGUUAUAACGAGAUUUAAAAUUUACCCAAUGCUUUAAACCAGAUCACAGUCGAAUAUUUGCCGAGUACAAAGUUAUCUAUUACAGCUGUGUGAAUGUUUACAUACAAACGUUGUGUAUACGAUUCAAUGACGCGUACAAUCGGGAAACAGUGUUCACCAGUAUACUUGUAAACUAUAUAUGUACGAUUCGAGACAAACAUUCGGAAAGUAAUCAAGAAACACAUUAUCAAUGUCUUUAUUUAGUAUUACAAACCUGUAAAACCCUAUACGUAUUCCUUUUAACACUGAUAAAUCCGUGGAAGCAUAGGAUAUGUCGGUUACAAAUGGCGAACAGGUUAACUAUUUAAAGCGCCCCCUACAGUAUACUGCGUACGUGUGUAUACAUUUAAUACACCUAUCUACUACAUGGGCCUAUACAGUCGAGCGGUCUAGGUCAAGAUUUCCAACCAAAACAUCCCGAGUUCGACUCUCGCACAAAACAGUCAGAAAUUUAAUGCUAAAAGUUAACAAUUUUUCAGUGUCUAACAUACUCGAGAGACGUUAAAAAUACGUCCGGUCGCUUCAAAAACAAAUGAAAAAUGAAAUAAAAUGAAAAAAUUAAUCUGCAAAAAUUCGAUUAACCAAUCAAAUUACCCGAUUACAAUUGAAGGUGUCAGAGGGUAUAAAUACAAGUGCGAAAGAACCAAAAAGUCAUUCUUAGGCUGCCACUUGGAGGAGUAAGUCAGAAGAAAGUAAUAGACACUUGAAACAGUACGGACGGAACGAAAAGGUGUCAGAGGGUAUAAAUACAAGUGCGAAAGAACCAAAAAGUCAUUCUUAGGCUGCCACUUGGAGGAGUAAGUCAGAAGAAAGUAAUAGACACUUGAAACAGUACGGACGGAACGAAAAGGUAAGUUUCAGUCCAAUUAUACAAUUUGUAAGUUUAUGAACGUCUGAGGUGUUUGUCACACAUGAAUUGAGUGUACUGGAUUAGGGCGGUGUCACAAGUCCACAACGGAAAGAGGGCGUUUUAAAGUGACAUGUCCCCGCGAUAUCCAGGAACAUCUUUCCGGCCAAUAAUUCAUGUGGACCCAUCGGGUGAUGCUCCGUUUCUGGUGACAGAAUCGUUGAUGUUCUUCGUACGAACGCCAUAGGACCUCGGUCCUUUAAUCAGACACACUAACGAAACAACAACUUAUAGCUAAUAAAAUAUCUUAUUAACUUCUAUUUAUAUCUUUAAAAAGUGUGCAACAUUUAAAAAUUAAAUUGCAAGGCUGAGGUGUUUGUCACACAUGAAUUGAGUGUACUGGAUUAGGGCGAUGUCACAAGUCCACAACGGAAAGAGGGCGUUUUAAAGUGACAUGUCCCCGCGAUAUCCAGGAACAUCUUUCCGACCAAUAAUUCAUGUGGGCCCAUAGGGUGAUGCUCCGUUUCUGGUGACAGAAGCGUUGAUGUUCUUCGUACGAACACCAUAGGACUUCGGUCCUUUAGUCAGUUCAUAGCUACUUAAAAACGUCUGCUCGCUUCAAAAUCUAUGAUACAUCUGAUGCAAAAAUUGCAAAACAUAUCUCAAAAAAAAAAAAAAAAAAAAAA